CUCAUGCAUUUUUGAAUAUUAAUAAAGUCAUUAUUGACCGUCUUCUCUUCAUGCAAACUUGUAUGAUCGAGACGGAUUUUCCCUGGGGCCCAAGGGUUUUAUAUGUGUUAUAUUUUAUGGGCUAGAGCACUUGCUGUUUGCAGAUGCCCACGUUGAGAAUUCAGCAAUUAUAUUCUCAGGUACGGAAGCUAUUCAUGACUUUGUGGCUGUGCCAGUAUUGUUUGUAACAUAUUGUUGUGUUUGUUUACGUUUUGUCCUGUUCGUACUACAAUUUCUUAAAUUUAUGCACAUUUGCAUUAAUUUAAUCGGCCACACUAGCUUCUUAAGCAUGGGAAUAUAUGCCUACAUGGGAUAGGACCUUAGUGUUUCCAGAUGCCCAUAGCUGGAUUCAAUAUAUUGUGGGAUGGCGCAGCAUGAUGUUUUCAGAUUGCCCGAUUGUUUUGUGUGCGGCUACCCUCAUGGUAUGCCAGAUUUUCUAACAACUAUAGAUAGUCUACUUCUUUAGCACUUGUUUCGUUGUUUGUACUAUGUGUAGGCUGUCUUGCGUUCCGUUUUUCACUAUGUUUUCCCUCCCCUUAUUUAUUUCAUAUACCAUGAUCCCUGUAUUCCUUCUUUGGUCUGUCUCCUGCCCAGUUUGUGGUUUCUUUUUAGUGCGAAAUGCCAGCAACAAGACCGAGUACUCGAAUCCAGCGUCGUGCACAACCUUUGGCUGCUCGAAACCAACCAUCUAGACCACGUAAUGCUUCGGAUGAUGCUCCGUCACAACCAGCCGAACCUGUGUCAGUUAGCCCAGCUCCAGCUUUGGACAAUAACGCCAUCGCCCGAAUUGCCUCUGAAGUGACCCAGGCCGUCAUGGCAUCCUUGAAUCACCAUCAACAACCUGGUCCCAUUACUGGUUCACCAUCAGCAGAGUCUGCAACAAGGGAGGUAACACUGGGGGGUAUCUCUGUGGUUGAUGCUACAGUGCAGGGGCCGGUGGCAUCAGCCAUGGAGAAUCUUACAGGUGAGGUGUCAUUACAACUGGGAGGCAGUAGUUCACAUCCCACGGGCUCAGGCAUAUCUAAUUUUAAUUCUAUAAGCAUUGCUAUAGAUGCUCAGGUUAGCCCAAAGGUAAAAGCAAAAAUUUGGGCCAAUGAGUUUAUUGAUUUUGGUUUGCUUUUAAAUCCACAAGUGGGCGAUACUCGUUACCAACUUUCUCUUAGUUCAUCAGAGAACUCCGUGCCUACUUUGUCUUUGGAACCCACCACUAAGACAAAACACAUUGCCAAUAUUGAGAUGUGGACUAGUGCCUUCCAGGUUUUCGUUGGGGUUUACACU